rnacentral:rRNA from 1 species
ACAGGUGCUGCAUGGCUGUCGUCAGCUCGUGUCGUGAGAUGUUCGGUUAAGUCCGCUAACGAGCGCAACCCUCGUCCGUGUGUUAUACGUGUCACACGAUACUGCCGGGUAUCAAGUCCGGAGGAAGGUGGGGAGUGAUGUCAAGUCAGCAUGGCCUUUAUAUCCUGGGCUACACACACGCUACAAUGGCAGAUACAAUAGGUUGCGAAACCGCGAGGUGGAGCCAAUCCUCAAAGUCUGUCUCAGUUCAGAUUGUAGGCUGCAACUCGCCUGCAUGAAGUUGGAGUUGCUAGUAAACGCAGGUCAGCUAUACUGCGUUGAAUACGUUCCCGGGGUUU